rnacentral:misc_RNA from 1 species
UUUCCGUAGGUGAACCUGCGGAAGGAUCAUUAUUGUAUAACCGAGGUGCGAGGCCUGUCGCUAACCCGAGAGGUCUUUCGCCCGCGACGGCCCUCACACACCUGCGUCUCACCGCUAUUUUCACUACCGCGUGGCUCCCCCUUUGGCUUGUUCCGAGGGGGGCUUACGUUUUCACACACACUUUGUAUGCAGUGUAUAAUAUAUUUUUUUUUUUUUCGCUCACCCAAUCAAUUCAACUUUCAACAACCUAUCUAUUGGCUCUCCCAUCGAUGAAGAACC